GUAUUAUUAAGAGUACAAUGAAAAUUGUAACAAUACAGAAAAGAUUAGCAUGGCCCCUGUACAAGAAGGACAUGCAAAUUUGUGAAGUGCUCCAUGUUUGU
rnacentral:snRNA from 1 species